rnacentral:rRNA from 1 species
AUUAACGCUAGCGGCAGGCAUAAUACAUGCAAGUUGAACGGCAGCACAGGUAGCAAUACCGGGUGGCGAGUGGCGCACGGGUGCGUAACACGUAUGCAACCUACCCUAUACAGGCGAAUAACCUUUAGAAAUGAGGGCUAAUACGCCGUGGUAUUAUCUUGGGGCAUCUUGAGAUAAUUAAAGAUUAUCGGUAUAGGAUGGGCAUGCGUCCCAUUAGUUAGUUGGUAGGGUAACGGCCUACCAAGGCUAUGAUGGGUAGGGG